CCCCUUUUAAAAUCCCUUGUAAAU
rnacentral:siRNA from 1 species